AACGAACGCUGGCGGCAGGCUUAACACAUGCAAGUCGAACGCCCCGCAAGGGGAGUGGCAGAUGGGUGAGUAACACGUGGGAACGUGCCCUAAGGUUUGGAAUAUUCCCGGGAAACUGGGAGCAAUACCGUAUGUGCCCGAAAGGGGAAAGAUUUAUCGCCUUUGGAUUGGCCCGCGUUGGAUUAGCUAGUUGGUGGGGUAAAAGCCUACCAAGGCGACGAUCCAUAGCUGGUCUGAGAGGACGACCAGCCACACUGGGACUGAGACACGGCCCAGACUCCUACGGGAGGCAGCAGUGGGGAAUCUUGGACAAUGGGCGCAAGCCUGAUCCAGCCAUGCCGCGUGAGUGAUGAAGGCCCUGGGGUUGUAAAACUCUUUCGUGGGGGACGAUAAUGACGGUACCCCAAGAAGAAGCUCCGGCUAACUUCGUGCCAGCCGCCGCGGUAACAC
rnacentral:rRNA from 1 species